ACUUAGAUAUCUUAAUUUAAAGUUUAAUAUUGAAGAUAUUAAUAUGGAUAUUUGUCCUCUAGGUA
rnacentral:tRNA from 1 species